CGAUUUUAAAAUCGUUAUCGUUAUCGUCUAACGAUAAUUUUAUCAUUUUCGUUGUUGUGUGGACACUAACACAAUUUUUUUGCCAAUUAUCGCGUGUUUACAAUUUAUCGUAUCGUUAUCGUUGUGUAGUGUGACCGGGCCUUUAGAAUGGUAAGCACCUUUGCAUGGGACUUUAUGUCUCGUUCGUGCGUGAUAUUGUCCAUUUGAGUAUUCUACUUACUUCUAUAUAGAACUGUUGUGCAUAAAACGUUGUAGAAUUCUCAAUAAAAUUGUUAAAAUUGUAAAAUAUUGUAAAAAAAAUAAUAUUGGUGUACCUCUGGUACGUAAGUAUGCGAAUUAUCACACCCUGUUAAUAUUGGUACAAUUAAUAAAAGAAGUUGACGAGAAUUGAGAUUCGUUUCCACUAUGUUAAUGCAGGAUUCCUAAUACAAUU